AGGGAAUCUUCCACAAUGGACGGAAGUCUGAUGGAGCAACGCCGCGUGAGUGAUGAAGGUUUUCGGAUCGUAAAACUCUGUUGUAAGGGAAGAACCAGUACGUCAGGCAAUGGACGUACCUUGACGGUACCUUAUUAGAAAGCCACGGCUAACUACGUGCCAGCAGCCGCGGUAAUACGUAGGUGGCAAGCGUUGUCCGGAAUUAUUGGGCGUAAAGCGCGCGCAGGUGGUUUCUUAAGUCUGAUGUGAAAGCCCACGGCUUAACCGUGGAGAGUCAUUGGAAACUGGGAGACUUGAGUGCAGAAGAGGAAAGUGGAAUUCCAAGUGUAGCGGUGAAAUGCGUAGAGAUUUGAGGAACACCAGUGGCGAAGGCAAUCCCCUGGGCCUGCACUGACGCUCAUGCACGAAAGCGUGGGGAGCAAACA
rnacentral:rRNA from 1 species